rnacentral:rRNA from 1 species
CCUACGGGUGGCAGCAGUGGGGAAUAUUGCACAAUGGGGGGAAGCCUGAUGCAGCGAAGCCGCGUGAGUGAAGAAGUAAUUCGGUAUGUAAAGCUCUAUCAGCAGGGAAGAAAAUGACGGUACUUGCCUACGAAGCCCCGGCUAACUACGGGACAGCAGCCGCGGUAAUACGUAGGGGUAACGCGUUAUCUGGAUGUCCUGGGUGUAAAGGGAGCGCGGACGGCGGUGCAAGUCUGGAGAGAAAGGCGGGGGCCCAACCCCAGGACUGCUCUGGAUACUGUAAAGCUGGAGUGCAGGAGAGGGAAGCGGAAUUCCUAGUGUAGCGGUGAAAUGCGUAGAUAUUAGGAGGAACACCAGUGGCGAAGGCGGCUUACUGGACUGCAACUGACGUUGAGGUUCGAAAGCGUGGGGAGCAAACAGGAUUAGAUACCCCGGUAGUC